AACAAACGCUGGCGGCGUGCCUAAUACAUGCAAGUCGAACGGGGAAAGCUUUCGGGUGAGUACUAGUGGCGCACGGGUGAGUAACGCGUGGAUAAUCUGCCUUAGAGUGGGGGAUAACUAGUCGAAAGAUUAGCUAAUACCGCAUAAGACCACAAGAACUGCGGUUCAAGGGGUCAAAGGUUUUUCGCUCUAAGAUGAGUCCGCGUAAGAUUAGCUAGUUGGUGAGGUAACGGCUCACCAAGGCGACGAUCUUUAACUGGUCUGAGAGGAUGAUCAGUCACACUGGAACUGAGACACGGUCCAGACUCCUACGGGAGGCAGCAGUAGGGAAUAUUGCACAAUGGAGGAAACUCUGAUGCAGCGACGCCGCGUGAGUGAUGAAGGCCUUCGGGUCGUAAAGCUCUGUCGCAGGGGAAUAACACAAUGAAUGUACCCUGUAAGAAAGGAUCGGCUAACUUCGUGCCAGCCGCCGCGGUAACAC
rnacentral:rRNA from 1 species